rnacentral:rRNA from 1 species
UUGUGCGAAACCUCAGAAAGGGUGGAAGCCUGGAUGCUGGUUAGUGGCGAACAGGUGAGUAACACGUAGGUUAUCUGCCCCGAAGUGGGGAAUAACUGUUCGAAAGGGCGGCUAAUUCCGCAUGUGUUCCAACUUUGUUGGAAGAAAGGGAUUUCGGUCCCGCUUUGGGAUGAGCCUGCGGCCGAUUAGCUAGUUGGUAGGGUAAUGGCCUACCAAGGCGACGAUCGGUAGCUGGUCUGAGAGGACGGUCAGCCACACUGGAACUGAGACCAGGUCCAGACUCCUACGGGAGGCAGCAGCAAGGAAUAUUGCACAAUGAGGGAAACCUCGAUGCAGCAACGCCGCGUGAGCGAUGAAGGCCUUCGGGCUGUAAAGCUCUUUACUGAGGGACGAGAGAGGACGGUACCUCAGCAACAAGCCUCGGCUAACUACGUGCCAGCAGCCGCGGUAAAACGUAGGAGGCGAGCGUUAUCCGGAUUUACUGGGCGUAAAGGGCAAGUAGGCGGUAGCUUAAGUUGGGCGUGAAAUCUCCUGGCUUAACUGGGA